rnacentral:rRNA from 1 species
GAGUUUGAUCAUGGCUCAGGAUGAACGCUAGCGGCAGGCUUAACACAUGCAAGUCGAGGGGUAGAGGAAGCUUGCUUCCUUGAGACCGGCGCACGGGUGCGUAACGCGUAUGCAAUCUACCUUAUACAGGGGAUAGCCCAGAGAAAUUUGGAUUAAUACCCCAUAGUAUAAUUGAAUGGCAUCAUUUAAUUAUUAAAGUUCCAACGGUAUAAGAUGAGCAUGCGUCCCAUUAGCUAGUUGGUGUGGUAACGGCACACCAAGGCGACGAUGGUAGGGGUCCUGAGAGGGAGAUCCCCCACACUGGUACUGAGACACGGACCAGACUCCUACGGGAGGCAGCAGUGAGGAAUAUUGGUCAAUGGGCGCAAGCCUGAACCAGCCAUGCCGCGUGCAGGAUGACGGUCCUAUGGAUUGUAAACUGCUUUUGUACAGGAAGAAACACUCCCUCGUGAGGGAGCUUGACGGUACUGUAAGAAUAAGGAUCGGCUAACUCCGUG